rnacentral:rRNA from 1 species
GACGAACGCUGGCGGCGUGCUUAACACAUGCAAGUCGAACGGAAAGGCCCUGCUUUUGUGGGGUGCUCGAGUGGCGAACGGGUGAGUAACACGUGAGUAACCUGCCCUUGACUUUGGGAUAACUUCAGGAAACUGGGGCUAAUACCGGAUAGGAGCUCCUGCUGCAUGGUGGGGGUUGGAAAGUUUCGGCGGUUGGGGAUGGACUCGCGGCUUAUCAGCUUGUUGGUGGGGUAGUGGCUUACCAAGGCUUUGACGGGUAGCCGGCCUGAGAGGGUGACCGGCCACAAUGGGACUGAGAGACGGCCCAGACUCCUACGGGAGGCAGCAGUGGGGAAUAUUGCACAGUGGGCGGAAGCCUGAUGCAGCAACGCCGCGUGCGGGAUGACGGCCUUCGGGUUGUAAACCGCUUUCGCCUGUGACGAAGCGUGAGUGACGGUAAUGGGUAAAGAAGCACCGGCUAACUACGUG